AGAAGCAGAUCGAGCUCUGCGCGACCCAGAGCACCACGCGCGACGCCGCGUCCCUCCGCCUCCGUCAGGCCAUGUUCCUUCCUAUCUCCAACGGAGGAGAGAUAAUCGAAGAAGGAAAGGCCGACAGCUCCUGCAUGACUCCGACGACUUCGCAGCUUCGGUCCGGCGUCCUCCGGCCACCGUUUGGGCCGGUUUUGGGUGUUCUUUAUGUUCUUCGACGUCGAGACUGACUUGGCUUUCUUGGCUCGAUUUCUUCCUUCCUUAUGUCCUGUGGUUGAGCUUGAUGUGGCUUAGUAGCUGAAUUACAAGGUUCCUUAAUUAAAGUGAAGGUAGCAGAGAGUUUCUAGCCCAUCAAUUCGUUGGAAAGGUCUCCUGCUAAUUCAGAUUUUCAAAAGGGACUCAAGUUACUUGGUGAGCGAAAAAGUGGAAAGCUUGUGACUCGUGGAGUGUGCGAGGAAAACAUUGGAGUCGAGCACUGUGACGUACUUAAGCUGGUGAGGUGCAGUUUGGAGCGUUACACAUUCGCUGCGCCUCGUCGUCUUCGAUAGAUCUGCACCGGUGCCGCAUCCCGCCAACCACCAUGCUCAGAGCUAUAACAGCUGGAAGGUUUGCCAUCAUCGGCGCCGCCGCCUCUGUCCGCCCUAGAUCUCCUGACUACUCUCUUCCCCCUUAUUUCAUUCUUCUGGUUUCGAUUCCAAGCAUUUCGAAGUUUGAACGAGCGGUAAGAUCGAGUUUCACGAUUUAGGAAUUCAGUGUACAGCAGUUUUCGGCCGCUUCUCAGCAGAUUUGGGCUUUGACGCCGUUAUGGAAAAGGUUUGUUUUCUGAUGAUAUAUAAAUUUCAUGUUGGAGUCGAGUCGUUUUGGAGAGGUUGGAGAAUAGUGGUGUGUGGGGCCCACACACAGCCCUUAUGGCGGCACGUGAAGAGGUUUUGGGAGCAAUGAGUUGCUUCAUUAAGUGAUAUUCGUUGAUACGAAUCUAACGACAUAUAAUUUGUCGAAUUUGGUUUUAAUAUGAGCGUGUGGGGAGUUUUCCAAGUUAUAAUUUACGAAAUUGUGAACGUUUAUGAAUGUAUGAAUGUGGCUUUAUUUUCUGAAAUCGUUGAUUGAUGGUCAUGUGUUAAGAAUGUGAUUGUUUUGAUUGAUAAUGAAUAUAGUAGUGUGUUUGAUGGAUGAAAGUU